CUCUAGUAAAAGUGACUCUUCUCCUUCCCAAAAAAAAAAAACAAAACAGUCGUCUAUGUAGCAUCUAUAGGACUAGAUUCGUCACCAAGGGAUGUCAUUUCCAGAUAAAUUAGUUUUCCCAGAAGGUCAUAAAGAUGUUAGCAUAAAAGGGUGCGAAUCUAGUCCCCAUUGCUGUACCUGAAGAUAUAUCUCUUUAUUACGCCAAAAGAAUUUGUUCGACAAUAUAAAAUUGAUACACUCUAUUAAAAAUUCUACUUUUUCCAUAUUCAUCUCUGCUUUAUCGUAGAUAGUAUACCUAAUGGUUUGUAAACCUAAAUGAUGUUGAAUGACUGUAUAUAAUGAUGUUACUAGCCAUAGGUUAUUGUUCCAAGUAUUUCUUUCUAUCAAUUUUAAAAGCUCACCACUGUUUUUCAAAUAUGUUUGGGGCAUCUUAACAUAAGGUUGUAGUAGAACACCUAUGUAUUUUGAUACAUCGUAAUAUGUAAUGGCCAUGAUAACAAUACCACCCCCCUCAUCUGCAAGCUUUAUUAUGAUGUUUUUAUUAUCAUUCAAUUCCUUAAGUGCUUUCCUUUCAAGUAUAGUUACAUUUUGUACAGUGUUGGGUAUCUUGAUGGGAUAUGUUUUAAUUCACUAAUCACAG